rnacentral:rRNA from 1 species
AAACAGGGUCUUGAGACUACAAUCUUUUGUGUGCUCGACCUUGAACUCUUGCAUCCACACACACCUUUGUGCACUAUGGGGACUGAACUGGUCCCCCAUUUUUACAUUAAACACCUAGUUAUAUGCAUGUUUUUUUUACAUACUCUACGGAGUAAAAUGUAACAACUUUCAACAACGGAUCUCUUGGCUUUCGCAUCGAUGAAGAACGCAGCGAACGUGCGAAACGUAAUGUGAAUUGCAGAAUUCAGUGAAUCAUCGAAUCUUUGAACGCAUCUUGCGCUCCUUGGUAUUCCGAGGAGCAUGCCUGUUUGAGUGUCAUGAAAUCAUCUCAAUUUCAAUCUUGUUAUUGAAAUUGGACUUGGGUGUUGUUGUGAGUCACACAACUCAUCCUAAAUGCAUUAGCGAUCUGUCUGUGAUCACACACAAUGUGAUAAGUAAAAAGCAUUGUUACAAUCGAGUCAGGAUUGCUUCGAACCGUCUGAAAGGACAUUCUUUCAUGUCAUUUGACCUCAGAUCAGGCAGGACUACCCGCUGAACUUAAGCAUAUCAAUAAGCGGAGGAAAAGAAACUAACAAGGAUUCCCCUAGUAACGGCGAGUGAAGAGGGAAGAGCU